GUAGGGAAUCUUCGGCAAUGGGGACAACCCUGACCGAGCAACGCCGCGUGAGUGAAGAAGGUUUUCGGAUCGUAAAGCUCUGUUGUAAGAGAAGAACGUGUGUGAGAGUGGAAAGUUCACACAGUGACGGUAACUUACCAGAAAGGGACGGCUAACUACGUGCCAGCAGCCGCGGUAAUACGUCGGUCCCGAGCGUUUUCCGGAUUUAUUGGGCGUAAAGCGAGCGCAGGCUGUUUAAUAAGUCUGAAGUUAAAGGCAGUGGAUUAACCAUUGAUCGCUGUGGAAACUGUUAAAGUUGAGUGCAGAAGGGGAGAGUGGAAUUCCAUGUGUAGCGGUGAAAUGCGUAGAUAUAUGGAGGAACACCGGUGGCGAAAGCGGCUCUCUGGUCUGUAACUGACGCUGAGGCUCGAAAGCGUGGGGAGCAAACAGGAUUAGAAACCCGGGUAGUCC
rnacentral:rRNA from 1 species